rfam:Verticillium dahliae VdLs.17 supercont1.8 genomic scaffold, whole genome shotgun sequence.
AGCUCCAUAGUCAGGUGGUAUUGGCGCCGGAUAUACUCCGGAGGUUGUGGGUUCGAAUCCCGCUGGCGCUG